GAUACCACGGUGCCACAAGAAUGAGCCCAGCGGAGGCAGGAGUGGGAGAUCUGAUCUCCGAGGACGUGAAUCAUCCCACUGCCUACUCCAAGGAACACAAGAGGAAGGGACUCGUUUCAGCAGGGAACGCAGGGGCUCUUUAGGGAACAGACUGGAUGUUACCAUGUCAGAGUGCCAAAAGCCCUAAUGGAACCAGGAAUCCUGGAAAAGAGGCAAGUGGCAUGUAUCUGGCUGGCAGAGCUGAAGAGGACUCUGAGAUGGCCCUUAGGACAGAGAUGUAGGGUAUUGAGGGCCAUGAGAAGCACAGUUGCGGGAUGUAGAGCUGGGCUCUGGCCAGGGAAACUUGGCAUUCUGUCUGACUUACUGCCUGGAAAAGUCUCCAUGGGUUCACCAAGAUGGGAUGAAAACAGGAAGACCCAAGCGAGCUGUGAUUCAAGGAGACCCAUGUGCUAGCCUGAGUGUGGGGCCAGAGAACUCCAACUGUGAAGGCACAGCCUCACCACCCACCCCAUCUUGCCUGCAGCUCUGCUCUUUUCUCCACUCCCUGCCUCCUUUUGCCUUCUCUCUUUUUCCUUCCCCACCUCAUUGUUCCCCUCUCCUGUUAACAUCUCUUUCUCUCCCUCUUCUAUAUGUUUCAUCUUCCUAUUUAAUUGGUUGCUUGCUUCUCAUCUUUCUCUAGGUGUUUUCUGCCACCCUCUUUUGCCCCCUCACCUUCA